rfam:Ornithorhynchus anatinus chromosome X5, whole genome shotgun sequence.
UAUCUCUCAGGGUCACACCUGGAGAGUUUUCAGCACUCUACCAGUCUCGACUACUGGAGGGAGAGUCAAGCAGAGGCAUAUCCAUUUCAUUCCUAGCUUGGGCAAUGGCUAGCAAGUGGAAGGCAAUCUGCUAUAAGU